AUUGAACGCUGGCGGCAGGCCUAACACAUGCAAGUCGAGCGGAUGAAGGGAGCUUGCUCCUGGAUUCAGCGGCGGACGGGUGAGUAAUGCCUAGGAAUCUGACUGGUAGUGGGGGAUAACGUCCGGAAACGGGCGCUAAUCCCGCAUACGUCCUGAGGGAGAAAGUGGGGGAUCUUCGGACCUCACGCUAUUAGCUGAGACUAGGUCGGAUUAGCUAGUUGGUGGGGUAAAGGCCUACCAAGGCGACGAUCCGUAACUGAUCUGAGAGGAUGAUCAGCCACACUGGAACUGAGACACGGUCCAGACUCCUACGGGAGGCAGCAGUAGGGAAUAUUGGACAAAGGGCGAAAGCCUGAUCCAGCCAUGCCGCGUGUGUGAAGAAGGUCUUCGGAUUGUAAAGCACUUUAAGUUGGGAGGAAGAGCAGUAAGUGAAUACCUUGCUGUUUUGACGGUACCAACAGAAAAAGCACCGGCUAACUUCGUG
rnacentral:rRNA from 1 species